CCUACGGGAGGCAGCAGUGAGGAAUAUUGGUCAAUGGACGCAAGUCUGAACCAGCCAUGCCGCGUGCAGGAAGACGGCUCUAUGAGUUGUAAACUGCUUUUGUACGAGGGUAAACGCAGAUACGCGUAUCUGUCUGAAAGUAUCGUACGAAUAAGGAUCGGCUAACUCCGUGCCAGCAGCCGCGGUAAUACGGAGGAUUCAAGCGUUAUCCUGAUUUAUUGGGUUUAAAGGGUGCGUAGGCGGUCGGAUAAGUUAGAGGUGAAAUCCCGAGGCUCAACUUCGGAAUUGCCUCUGAUACUGUUCGGCGAGAGAGUAGUUGCGGUAGGCGGAAUGUAUGGUGUAGCGGUGAAAUGCUUAGAGAUCAUACAGAACACCGAUUGCGAAGGCAGCUUACCAAGCUACUUCUGACGUUGAGGCACGAAAGCGUGGGGAGCAAACAGUAUUAGAUACCCCUGUAGUC
rnacentral:rRNA from 1 species